UAUUGUUGGUGUUGCGGUUGGUGUUGCUGUUGUGCUUAAGGUUAAAGGAUACUGUUUGAAGAAAGGUUCACGAAGAAAAGAAAAUGGCUGCUCCACAUCGCUGCAGUUAAAUCUCAACUCCGAAUGAUCUUAAAAAAACUCUGCAUGGACGAACACCAGCAUACAUAACUGAACCUUUACAUCUGGAUGUCCACAGCAGGUCCCUGAGGGCAUGUGAUCAAGG